UACGUAGGGUGCAAGCGUUAAUCGGAAUUACUGGGCGUAAAGCGUGCGCAGGCGGUGAUGUAAGACAGAUGUGAAAUCCCCGGGCUCAACCUGGGAACUGCAUUUGUGACUGCAUCGCUGGAGUGCGGCAGAGGGGGAUGGAAUUCCGCGUGUAGCAGUGAAAUGCGUAGAGAUCGGGAGGAACACCAGAGGCGAAGGCGGCGACCUGGACAAGUACUGACACUCAACUACGAAAGCGUGGGGAGCAAACAGG
rnacentral:rRNA from 1 species